AGCAGUGUGGCUCAGUGGAAAGAGCAUGGGCUUGGGAGUCCGAGAUCAUGGGUUCGAAUCCCAGCUCUGCCA
rfam:Ornithorhynchus anatinus chromosome 1, whole genome shotgun sequence.